GGAGAGGAAUUAGGAACAUAUUUCACAUCAUCAACAACAGAAGGAAAAGUUGUGGGAUUUCAUGGUAGGUGUGGAGUGUAUGUGGAUGCAAUUGGAGUGCAUAUGCAACAUUGGUUAGGCAAUCAAAGAACUUCCAAGAAUCCUCUAAUGAAAAUGUUCCACUAAAGUUUGAUACUUAUUUCAUGUUCUUGAAUAAAGAAAAGUCAAAAUUAAAAGUCUAUGUCGUUUCAGUCUCUUUAAAAAUGUUAUCGAAUGUGUAUCGAAUCCUUCAAAAGGUAUGUAUUUUUGAAGGAUCAGAUACAAAUAUGACGAUACUUUUUAAAGAGUAUGACCAACUUAGGUGGAAAUGUCCUAUGAAACAUCUUAUUAAUUGUAUGUUUG
rnacentral:misc_RNA from 1 species